rnacentral:rRNA from 1 species
UUGGAGGGCAAGUCUGGUGCCAGCAGCCGCGGUAAUUCCAGCUCCAAUAGCGUAUAUUAAAGUUGUUGCAGUCAAAAAGCUCGUAGUUGAAUUUCGGGAUUCGUCGGUUGGUCGGGCUUCACUGUCCGCACUGACCUGACGGAUUCCUACCUUCUGAAUAACCAGCAUGCUAUUAAGUUAGUGCGUUGGGGAAGCAGAGCUAUUACCUUGAAAAAAUUAGAGUGCUUAAAGCAGGCUUGUGCUUGAAUAGAUUAGCAUGGAAUAAUAAAAUAGGACGGCAUGGUUCUAUUUUGUUGGUUUCUAGGAUCACCGUAAUGAUUAAUAGGGAUAGUUGGGGGCAUUAGUAUUCAAUUGUCAGAGGUGAAAUUCUUGGAUUUAUUGAAGACUAACUUCUGCGAAAGCAUUUGCCAAGGAUGUUUUCAUUAAUCAAGAACGAAAGUUAGGGGAUCGAAGACGAUCAGAUACCGUCGUAGUCUUAACCAUAAACUAUGCCGACUAGGGAUCGGACGAUGUUAAUUUUUUAAUGACUCGUUCGGCGCCUUACGGGAAAC